GACGAACGCUGGCGGCGUGCCUAAUACAUGCAAGUAGAACGCAGUUGCGAACGGGUGAGUAACGCGUAGGUAACUGCCUCAUAGCGGGGGAUAACUAUCGGAAACGAUAGCUAAAACCGCAUACUGUGAGAUGGACCUGCGUUGUGUUAGCUAGUUGGUGAGGUAAAGGCUCACCAAGGCGACGAUACAUAGCCGACCUGAGAGGGUGAUCGGGCACACUGGGACUGGGGCACGGCCCAGACUCCUACGGGAGGCAGCCGUAGGGAAUCUUCGGCCAUGGGCGGAAGUCUGAAUGAGCAACGGCGCGGGGGUGAAGAAGGUUUUCAGAUCGUAAAACUCUGUUGUGAGAGAAGCGGUAACUAACGAGAAAGGGACGGCUAACUACGUGCCAGCAGCCGCGGUAAUUC
rnacentral:rRNA from 1 species